GACGAACGCUGGCGGCGUGCUUAACACAUGCAAGUCGAACGGAAAGGCCCUGCUUUUGUGGGGUGCUCGAGUGGCGAACGGGUGAGUAACACGUGAGUAACCUGCCCUUGACUUUGGGAUAACUUCAGGGAACUGGGGCUAAUACCGGAUAGGAGCUCCUGCUGCAUGGUGGGGGUUGGAAAGUUUCGGCGGUUGGGGAUGGACUCGCGGCUUAUCAGCUUGUUGGUGGGGUAGUGGCUUACCAAGGCUUUGACGGGUAGCCGGCCUGAGAGGGUGACCGGCCACAUUGGGACUGAGAUACGGCCCAGACUCCUACGGGAGGCAGCAGUGGGGAAUACUGCACAAUGGGCGGAAGCCUGAUGCAGCAACGCCGCGUGCGGGAUGACGGCCUUCGGGUUGUAAACCGCUUUCGCCUGUGACGAAGCGUGAGUGACGGUAAUGGGUAAAGAAGCACCGGCUAACUACGUG
rnacentral:rRNA from 1 species